GGAUAUAGUUCAGUGGUAGAGCAUAUGCUUAGCAUGCAUGAGGUCCUGGGUUCAAUCCUCAGCACCUCCU
rnacentral:tRNA from 1 species